GUGCUUUCAGCAGUACAUAUACAAAAAUUGGGACAAUACAGAGAAGUUUAGCAUGGCCCCUGCUCAAGGAUGACACACAAAUUCAUGAAGCAUUCCAUAUUUUU